AGUCGACCGCCUGGAAUGAGAGGCGCCGGGACGGGGAGCUGGCUUAGGUGCCCGCGAGGCUGUCAGGGAGGGUGGUGCCCGUGGGGCUGCUUGGUCUGCACACGCCCUGCUCUGGGCCCAGGAGGUCAGUCCCGAGGGGUGCCGUCCCCCAGCUUCCCACGUCAUGGAGUGGCAGUAGCUGGGCUCCUCGGGGGCUACGGCUCCCGCCAGGCACACCUCCUAGCCAGCGGCUCCGGCACUCAUCACGCAUUAGGAGUGCGGGGGCCCCACCCUGCUCCCUGCAGCCUGGCAGGUCGAGGGCCUGGCUCUCGUCCGUCCAGGGUGCCUCACCAGGUGUGGUGGGUGGAAGGGUGGCCUCCAAGGAUACGUCCCUCUGGAACCUGUGACUGUGACCUUUUGCAAAUAGGGUUUUUGUAGAUGUAAUGAAGUUAAAGGUCUCGAGAGGGAGUCGCCCUGGAUUGAGGUGUUCCCCGAUUCAAGCCUGGGUGCCCUGUGAGUUAGGGGAGGGAGACUGCAGACACAGAAAGGGGCCAGGUGAAGACAGGCACAGGCUGGGGUGACGCAGCUCUGAGCCAGGGAUGGCCAACAACCCCAGGAGCUGGACGGGGCAGGAGGGAUCCUCCCAGAGCCUCCAGAGGGAGCACAGCCCCGCCAAUGCCCUGAUUUUGGACGUCUGGCCUCCAGAGCUGUGAGAGCGCAUCCUUCAGCUGUUCUAACCCACCUGGUCUGUGGUAAGUUGCUACAGCAGCCCCAGGACACCAACACACCAGGUCUCACGGAGCCCCCUCACCUCUGCGUGGCCCUUGCAUGACCAUUCUCUCCAGUUGACACACAUUUUGGGGGUGUCAGGACCCCGGAUGAUAAAUGUUAGUAUGGUUCUAUUGUCUACAGUUAUAGGGUCUCCGGGGUACGAUCAGUCUCGGGGGGUAUUCUUCACGUUUUGAGGGGGGAUGGAAGCUGCACGGAAGCACUUGGGGCCCCGAGACGUGUAAUUAUUCCUGGCAAAGCUUGCAACAGUCUCACUAGAAAACAAGCAACACAGCACACUGCAGCUGCAUUUGAACAGUUCUGCUUAGACACGUGCGGAGUAUUACGUGCCCAAGAAUAUUCACUGACGUAUCAUCUGUAUCAUUCAUAGAGGAUUUAUACUGCUGUCAACUCAGGCACCCAUAGCACUGGCUGGGCUGCAUCCGCACAGUGGGGACAUUUGCAGCUGUAAGAAAGAACCAGGAAGAUACACGUGGGAACGGAGAGAUCUCCAGGAUCGACUGGUAUUACAAGUAAACUUGUAUAUAUGAAGCAAUCUCUGAAAAUCAGAAACAAACGGAGUUAAAUUAAACUGACUGUAUAUCGAUGGUAAUAUAACUCCCAAGAAAAUAAUGAUUUCUCGUGACUGGGACAGCAUUUAGACGAUGUGCUUGGAAACGUUUGUGGUAAAUGGUGUGACACACUUCUGCUCAGAGGGGACCUGAUCGCCUCGUGGGACCAGUUGUCCUGCGAGCCCCGGGGGUGCUGGUGAUGGGGCCGUGCUGCCCUGCCUGCUGCUCGCCUGGCCCAGCCCUGCCCCAUCGCUGGGCUCCUCCUGCAGCUCAGCCUUGAUUUCUGUGAGUAUUGACCGUCAUACACCUGGUGCAUCAAACCCACGCCUUCUCAGCUCCUGCUACUAAGCAAGGUAUUGAGCACGAGAAGAGUUUACUAUAAAGUAGGUAACAGUGCUGAGUGGGCGUGGAAAGGGGACGGAGACGAGGCUCCCGAAGGCGCAGUGCCUGCCCGACGGGAAGGCCUGGAGGUGGCAGCAGAGAUCGGGGUUCUGGGCCGACACUUCCGUCGUCCUCCCCACUGUCCCCCCGGCUCACCUUGCGGGAGCCCCCGUCCUCUGCAGCCGUGGUCUCCUCAUCUGCUGAAGGAAUGGAUGUUACCUGCAGAGCCCCUGGAGCCCCCGGUGAGAAGCCACGUCCCUCCCUGGUGCUUGCCUCUUCAUGGCUGAGGUCCCCCCCCCCCGCCCACCCUGCCGCCGAGAACUAAGCGGCUGCCAGGCCUCCAGCCCCUCCCCCAGGGUCCCCCGAGUGUUGGCAGCGACUGAAAUAUACUGCUUCCUAAAAUCAUGGUGGGUGUGCCUCUGAAGAAGUCACUAAAGGAAGUGGUCCUUCUCCCAUAUUUAUCCGUUCGUGUCCCUGGAGGACAGGGAAUAAUGCUACGUGUCAUGCAUUAAAAAUUGUGUCGCCAGUCUGAGUGAGGACACCUUCCAGAAAGAUUAUGGCCAACGGAAGUCUGUCGGACGGCAAAACAAAACAUAUUGGUAACAGAGAAAUCAGUGAGUAAUUUGCUCCAACAGUUUCAAUCAGAGGCCAGACAGCCUCACUGGGCCUCCGCUCAGCUGCCUCCCCCACGUGUGGCCACGACCCUUCGCUCAAAGCCCAGGGGCCGGGUCUGCACCCUGAGGGGAGCAGCCCAGCGUGGGUGCAGGCUCGUGGGGCAGGGCUGGGGGCGCACCAGUGCACGUGGGGGAGGCUUGGGGUGAAGUGUUUUCGCUGGGCCUUGCUGGGAGCUGCAGAGGUUACCGUGGCCCCCGAACUGGCCUGCUCCCGCUGUUCCUGCCACCCUGACCCUCCUCCGGGCACUGGGGCACCGCUCACUCACUGCCUCGGGCAAAGCCUUGUCGCCGCCCGGCCGGGAAGCAGAAGAGGCUGACUCUUGGCCUCUGAGCUUCGGAAGCUGAGGGCCAGGUGCGAGGGAGGAGAUGGGAGAGUUAUCUUUUGGGGGGUGGGUGGCAGGUCAGGCCUGCAGAGUCCCUGGGGUCACGUGACCGGUCCUGCUGAGGCUGCCUCUGCCCCUGGCAGGUCGGGCGCAGUCCUUUGCCCUUGGACACUGGGGUGGCACGCACUGAACCCGAAUAUCACUCCUGUUACGUCUGCCUCAGGGCACGUGGCGGGGGCAGAGCUCGGGGAGCCCAGCAGGAGGCGAGGUGAGCACCCACCUUCACCACGGUGACCAUGCCCUCGUUGGUGACGGGGUCCGUGCGGACGCUGAAGUGGCCCGAGGGGUCCCCGCUGAUGAUGCGGUAGACAGCGUUCCAGUUCGGGGAGUGGGGCUGAUCUCGGUCCAUCACAGUGAGGUUUGCGACCACCAUCUCCACCCGGUUUUCGGGGACUUCCCCUGCAUACUGCGAAGUGUAAGAAAAGACAACAUUACAAACCCGUGUGGAAGCCUGGAGAGGCUAGAGAGGUUCUUUGCUGACCCUGGGGGGCCUCUGCUUCCAGCUGCUCCCAGACACGGUGACUCCCGCAGGUUGGCCCAUCCCAUGUCCGUGCCGACGAGGAGGCGUCUAGAGAGGGCUCUGCUUCCUCCAGCUGAGGCCCAGCAAAGCCCGAGGCUCAUCUGCACGUAUCCGCCUCCAAACUAAUCCCUGCCUGUGCACGCACGCAUGCCAGGACCCCCUCCUAAAUCCCCUUCAAGCCCUUCCCAUAGGCAGCAGGGGACCAAUGCAAAUACCUGGGGCUUGCAAGAGACUAUAAAAACGUGCUUACAAAAUGGGAAACGAACAGGAGUGGGGACGCAGCUGCAGAGGGCUUCCCGAGCUGAACCAUCUCUGGGCUCCUGCCGUCCCGGUGGUCCCCGACACGGCCUUGGGGCCUGGGGUCAGCAGCUGCAGAUGUGCAGAUGAUCAAACACAGAGCCUCAACCCUUUCUUUCCUGCCGCAGCAGUGAGGGCUGCAAACCACGCCCAUCGGUGAGUGGGGUUCACGUGGCCGCAGUAGUUAUGGGCAGGCAAAGACUGUGUGCGUGGUGGGGCGUGUUGGUGCUGGUGUCGAGGUGGUGAUGGAAAUCUGAGCACCUCUCAGCAGGCGAGUCAGUGCUGUGCAGCUGUGGCCCAGCUCAGAAGAGCCCCGAGCUCGGUUCACUGCUGUGCAGUGAGUCUUGAAAUCCUUCAUACUUUGUGAAUGAGGGCCCCUGCGUUCUUAUUUGGCACUGGGCCAUGCAAAUCGUGUGGCCAUUCUGUCACAGUGCAGUGUGCUUUUGAGCCACAAAACCUGGAGACAAAGUUUGAACAAAUAUCUGGGGAUUUCCAGUUGUGUUCACAGCAGCGCAGCCCUAACGAUGGUUACCGAGUGCCCACUCUGUGCCAGGUACUGCCCUUGCGUUAUUCUGCUGGUUCAUCAGGAGAACCCCAUUCUUAUCCCCAUUUUGCAGAUGAAGAAGCAGAAGCAAGAGAGGUUAAGAGACCUUGGCACGGCCCAGAGAAAGCACGGCUCAGGGAAACCGCCGGGUGACUGCCAGAGCCUGGAUCCAGCCAUGCCUGAAGACAGUGCAGCUUCUGCGAGAUGAGGAGAUUCUCUUCUUGUUUCAGUUGCCAGGGUCAGUGUAGUGGACAUCAGUAGGCUGUUUGGCUCUCCAGCACCUUCUGAAUUCCCUUCUUUAUCUUCCAGAACCGUGCUUUCUCGCCCUCCUCUACUGCCACGACCUGGUCAGGUGAUCUAGAACCUGCCAGUGGGACACACCUUCAUGAGUUUGAUUCAGAAGAGAGGCAGAGAGACCUUGUGCUUUGGUGCCUGCAGUGGCAGAAGGGAGAAGCCUGGGGCCCGGGGCCCGGGUGGUGACUCUGGAGCCUUGUCCCCUCCUGCGGUGCUGCUGUGAGAACAGAUGAGGAAACUGGACUUGGAAUGAAUGUUUUGGUGCCUCCACCGUGAACCCCUCACCCGCUGAAGGCAGAGCCGGGACCCUGUCUGCUCCGCCGCCCAGUCGGUGCCCCUGUGAUGGGGGUCAGGGGCGUUCGGAAUCUGUGGAUAUGGAAAGGUCUUCAAGACAUAUCAUAAGCGGAAAAACCAAAAACAACGCAAGGGUCAGAGUGAAAACACAAGGGGCUCCUCCUCAAAUUCCAAAGGGUCCAAGCUGAGAACAGAAAAAACCCAGAUGGGCGGGGCCCUAUCUGACUGAACUGAUACAACAACAAGGAAGGACCCCAGAGGCCUUAUGCCACCAGGUGGGCGGCUCCAGGGAAUCGUGCGUUCCGUGUGACUCCGUUUACAUGACCUCCUAGAACAGGUAAAGCUCACCUUGGACGAUGGGCCUGGGUUGCUGCUGGCCGGGGGGAAGGUUUCACUCAAGAUUUGUGCCUCAUACUGUAGGCACGUCAGACCUCGGUGCAACGAACAAUGAGCUGCUCUCCUCAUGUCCAGACUCCCUGGGACGCUGCUCCUGAGCCCUUCCUGCCACUGCCCACUGGCCGUGGAGAGCAAACAGAAUGGAAGCCAUCCCACCCUAACCAGGGGGCAGAGACCUGAGCGGCUCCCUCUGUGGGGCGAUCUGCCAUCUGCCCACCAGAUGGCGCUGUGCCCUCGUGGCUGAGGCUGCCCUCCUCUGGCUUGGUCCAGCCGGACACAGAGCCUAGGACUCUGAGAUGCCUUACUGCAGGGAUGUGGGAUUUGAGGACUCCAGAAUUUGGAGCCUGUGGGCAGGUGGGGAAGCAGGAUGAGGGCAUGCAGGGACGCUGGUGGGGCUCCCGCCUGUGAGAUGCCUUCACGGCAAGCUGACCCACCCACUGGGAGAAUGAGGGGUCUCCUCUCUGUCCCCCCCCACCCCCUCCGCUGUGGUUUAAGAGCACAGCUUCCUGGGCUCAGCCCCAGCUGCUCCUAGUGGGCUGAGUGGCUCUGGACAAGUGACUCAGCCUCUCUGAGCCUCAGCAUCCUCCUCCCUAACUAGGUCCCGAGCCUCAUGGGGCUGGUGGGGCCCAGAGGUUGACCAGGAAGCCCAGGCUGCUGCCUGGUGGAGUGGGGGUGAGGGGCGCUCCACAGCUGGGCUUGCGCUCCAGUUCUUCUGUUACUGUUACUGCUGUUACCCUCUCAUCCACUCGUGCCGCGGGAGUGAGGCUCAGAGAAGGCAACCCUGACACCCUGGGGGGAGGGGGCAGCCUCCACCUCCCAGCACUGCCCGGGGAGUCCUCACUGACCCUCCCCUCUGCCCAUCUGGCCCCCUGCAUCUGCCGCAUUUCUGGACGGGCACCCGCAGGGUGGGUAUAUGUUCCCAUUCUGUCAGCAACCCCACUCCGGGGGGCGUGGCCCAAAAGACGCAGCUCCUUUGGAAUUCAGAGGAACUGGGAGCGCGUGACGCGUGGCUCUGUGAUCCCUCGGCUCUGCCGCUAGGGCGUUCCUGUGGUCAUUCAGGUUCUGGGCAGCCUGGCACGUGGCCUGGUCACAGCCCGCUGGCCGUGCCUGAAGGGGCAGGACGUACAAUGUGUCCCCCACGCCCCGCUGCCCCCCUGCUGAUGGUGGGCUGUGGAGGGCCAGCUGCGGUCCUGCCGCAGGGACCUGCCCUGUCCCCAGGCAUCCCCCCCGACAGUCCUGCCUCGCGUGCAGCCAUGCACACACCCCACACUGGCUGACCCUGGAGCCCAAACACCGCUGGUCAACUCCUCCGGGUUCGGGAGGAGGGUCCAACUCCCUCUGUCCUGGGAGCCUCUCCAGGUGUCAGCCAGUGGUCAGCAGGGGCCUGCAGACACCCGGAGCUCCUCUCCCGCCCAGCCCCCCGCCGCUCGGGGCCUUUGUUAACAGCCCGUCUAUUCAUCCGUCAAGCUCCUUCCAUCAGGUGGCAGCAGAGAGAGAAGCAGCCCGAAGGCCCGGGACCGUCUCCGAGGGGACGCGCACUCACCGUGCUGGCAGCGAACUCGGGCGGGUUGUCGUUCACGUCCGUCACCGUGAUGAUGGCUGUGGCCGUGUUGGACAGGCCAUAGUUCAGGUUUCCUUCCAUGUCUGUCGCUUGAACGAUGACUGUGUACUGCUGAACUUUCUAGAAGGGCAUGAGGGGGAGGAAGACAGCAUCAGUUUGGGUUUUAGUUUACAGGCUGUUUAUACUUUCAUUAAAGAAAUACAUUCCCUGGACGGACUCAGCUGGGUCCCCGUCCUGCCCGGGGGCGCUGGCUGCAGGGUGCUCGGCAGGUGACCUGGCAGAAGAAAGUUCUCACUUGCGGUGGGUGGUGAGGUCUCUGCCUUCACCUCAGUGCCUGGCUUCCACAGGUGUAGAUCGAGGUAGAAAUAAGGAAAAGGGGGCCUGGAGCACACAGCACGCUGUGCUGGGUUUGCCAGACCAGGGGUGGACAGUUUGGAAAGAGGGGCAACCCCCAGACGUGUGUCUGCAGGGACCUCAUUUCUUUAGCAUCCUCAGUGUCUAGUUCAGCCUCAGUCCAGAAAUUCAAACAGGAGAAGGGAGUCAAGCCCUCUCCCCUCUCUCUGCAGGCACACAGACACCAGCAUUACUCUGUGUCUGAACACAGUCUGGAAGGAGUGGUUAGCGUUCAGAUGCAGGUGUGAAUUUUAAAAGGCAAAAUGAUGCUUGAUGGGGACGGCGAAUUUCACUGGGCACUGAAGGGGCCACCCAGCCCUUCUCCACCUGGACCCACUGGUGCAGCAACCCCAGGUCAGCAGAGGGGGCCUUUCCACACCCCUGUUCUGAGCAGAGGCCACAGGUGUUUCCAACUGUGACAGGUGAGGACGAGCCUGGUGGGCAGCUUUCUGCUGGGACCACAGCCCACCUCUCACUGGCACCAUUGGGGAGGGAGGGUUCUGGGGUCCAGGGCAGAAAGGGACCUUCUGAAAUGCCUCCAAGGAAUGAACGAUCCCAAGUCCCGCUCCCCUAAGAGGUUCAGGGAAGAGCCCACUUCUCAGCCCCACCAUUCAGGGAAAUGUGCUCAGGAUCCCUAGGGGGCUCCGGAAGGAAUUAUAAACAGCAGACGGUCACAGACCGGUCACAGACUGCCACUCUCUUUCCCUCCCUCCCAGCCUCCCUCCAUCCACUCCUCCAUCCAUCCGUGAGUCCCUCCAUUUCUCUCUCUCCUUCCCAGACCCACAGCCCAUGUGGGGAAAGCAGGAUAGCCUCACGUAAAUCAAUGAAGUUAGAACACUCCCUCUCACACCAUACACAUAAAUAAACUCAAAAUGGCUUGAAGACUUAGACAUGACACCAUAAAACUCCUAGAA